rnacentral:rRNA from 1 species
GACGAACGCUGGCGGCGUGCCUAACACAUGCAAGUCGAACGGGGCAAUUUCUUCGGAGAUUGCUUAGUGGCGAACGGGUGAGUAACGCGUGAGAAACCUGCCUUUCAGUGGGGGACAACAGUUGGAAACGACUGCUAAUACCGCAUAAUGUUAUUUGGGGGCAUCCCCGAAUAACCAAAGCUUUAUGUGCUGAAAGAUGGUCUCGCGUCUGAUUAGCUAGUUGGUGAGGUAACGGCUCACCAAGGCGACGAUCAGUAGCCGGUCUGAGAGGAUGAACGGCCACGUUGGGACUGAGAUACGGCCCAGACUCCUACGGGAGGCAGCAGUGGGGAAUAUUGGGCAAUGGGGGAAACCCUGACCCAGCAACGCCGCGUGAAGGAAGAAGGCCUUCGGGUUGUAAACUUCUUUUACCAGGGACGAAGAACGUGACGGUACCUGGAGAAAAAGCAACGGCUAACUACGUGCCAGCCGCCGCCGUAAUAC